GCAAAUGGGUUUAGCAAAACAAGCAUCAGCUUAUCAAACUUUCAUACAUCAAAGAUUAUUCAUAAACAGAAGAUCUUUGAAUAAAACAACAAAGAAUGAGAAAAAUACCAUCAUUUUCGUCUGUUGUUGUUAGAACUGGCUUGAAGGCUAGGGUUGAUGGGAAGCAAACUGACGGUAGAUCUUCCUUUCUUCUUUGCGGUAACACUCUCUCUUUCUAUUUCUUUUUUAGAAACCGAAAGCAAAGAAAUGAAACUCUCCCAAUUUAUAUCUUGUGAUUGUUUUUUUUUUUUUUUUCUUCCCAAUAUAUAGACUAAAACGAGGAAGGGAUGUGUUCAUCGUAUAAAUUAAUUCUUGGUUUUUAGGCUGCUUUGGUAACUAUAUCAAGCAAGCAAACUGAUACAAAUAAGGGGAAGGGUUGUGUUCAUCAUAUAAAUUAAGUUGUGGAUUUUACCCGGUUUGGCAACCAGAUCAAGCAAAUACAAUUAAGGAAACUAGGGGCUAGUCUUUUUUAAUUGAGUAUUCAACAUGAUAAAAUUAAUACCAUUAUUAGAUUGAAAAAAUAAUAAAAUUAAAAUAAAAUGAACAAAUAGAUAGAGUACAGAGAAAGAUGGAGUGCAGUGAAAGCAUGUGAGGAAGCAGGAAACAUGG
rnacentral:lncRNA from 1 species